AUUCCAGCUCCAAUAGCGUAUAUUAAUGUUGUUGCAGUUAAAAAGCUCGUAGUUGGAUUUCUGGUGGGAGUGGCCGGUCCGCCGUAAGGUGUGUACUUGGUUGUCUCCCGUCAUCCUUGUGGGAACUGCUCUGGCAUUAAGUUGUCGGGGUUAGGGAACACAUCGUUUACUGUGAAAAAAUUAGAGUGUUUAAAGCAGGCUUAUGCCGUUGAAUACAUUAGCAUGGAAUAAUAAGAUAGGACUUUGGCGUCUAUUUUGUUGGUUUGCACACCAAGGUAAUGAUUAAUAGGAGCAGUUGGGGAUGUCCGUAUUCGAUUGUCAGAGGUGAUAUUCUUGUAUUUAUUGAAGACGAACUACUGCGAAAGCAUUCAUCAAGGAUGUUUUCAUCA
rnacentral:rRNA from 1 species